UGAGUUUGAUCCUGGCUCAGAUUGAACGCUGGCGGAAUGCUUUACACAUGCAAGUCGAACGGCAGCACGGGAGCUUGCUCCUGGUGGCGAGUGGCGAACGGGUGAGUAAUAUAUCGGAACGUACCCAGACGUGGGGGAUAACUAGUCGAGAGAUUAGCUAAUACCGCAUACGUCCUGAGGGAGAAAGCGGGGGAUCGCAAGACCUCGCGCGUUUGGAGCGGCCGAUAUCUGAUUAGCUAGAUGGUGAGGUAAAGGCUCACCAUGGCGACGAUCAGUAGCUGGUCUGAGAGGAUGAUCAGCCACACUGGAACUGAGACACGGUCCAGACUCCUACGGGAGGCAGCAGUGGGGAAUUUUGGACAAUGGGCGAAAGCCUGAUCCAGCCAUUCCGCGUGAGUGAAGAAGGCCUUCGGGUUGUAAAGCUCUUUCGGCAGGAACGAAACGGUGAGAGCUAAUAUCUCAUUACUAAUGACGGUACCUGAAGAAGAAGCACCGGCUAACUACGUGCCAGCAGCCGCGGUAAUACGUAGGGUGCGAGCGUUAAUCGGAAUUACUGGGCGUAAAGCGUGCGCAGGCGGUGACUCAAGUCAGAUGUGAAAGCCCCGGGCUUAACCUGGGAACGGCAUUUGAAACUAGGUCGCUAGAGUAUGGCAGAGGGGGGUAGAAUUCCACGUGUAGCAGUGAAAUGCGUAGAGAUGUGGAGGAAUACCGAUGGCGAAGGCAGCCCCCUGGGUCAAUAC
rnacentral:rRNA from 1 species